rnacentral:rRNA from 1 species
UGGGGAAUAUUGGACAAUGGGCGCAAGCCUGAUCCAGCCAUACCGCGUGGGUGAAGGAGGCCUUCGGGUUGUAAAGCCCUUUUGUUGGGAAAGAAAUCCAGCUGGCUAAUACCCGGUUGGGAUGACGGUACCCAAAGAAUAAGCACCGGCUAACUUCGUGCCAGCAGCCGCGGUAAUACGAAGGGUGCAAGCGUUACUCGGAAUUACUGGGCGUAAAGCGUGCGUAGGUGGUCGUUUAAGUCCGUUGUGAAAGCCCCUGGGCUCAACCUGGGAACUGCAGUGGAUACUGGACGACUAGAGUGUGGUAGAGGGUAGCGGAAUUCCUGGUGUAGCAGUGAAAUGCGUAGAGAUCAGGAGGAACAUCCAUGGCGAAGGCAGCUACCUGGACCAACACUGACACUGAGGCACGAAAGCGUGGGGAGCAAACAGGAUUAGAUACCCCCGUAGUCCCUGAGCGGGCUGGCAAGGCGCAU